AGAAUGCUCAGGUCAACAAUGGGAAGAACAGCACCGCCAAGCGGGAAUGUGGAUACUCAUUAGCCGUUCCUGGCAAGCCCUUCUGACCAUGACUUUAUGGUACCCACUGGGGAGGAGUGUGAAAUGUCCAAAAAUGUUCCCAUCGUAGUCUAUGCCCAGAAUAUGGCUAUUUUUAAAAGGAGGAACCCAUCCAGUAUGGUUCUAUAUUCCAUUAGACACACACAUUCCCAGGAUGAAGGAGUGAAUAUCACACCCAAAGCCAGAUGGAGUUGUGCCUCCCUGUGCUCAGAACAAACAACCAAUCAAUAAAAAAGAGAAUACAGCAAGGUGUUUCAUAUUAACUUGGCAGGAACAGAAUGGAUGCUUCCUGUCAGAACUCAAGGGUCCCCUGCAAAGUGUUGAACUAUAUCUCAGGGGCAAACGAACAAGCUGGCAGGGCCCUACCAUGGCUUGCGUCUAGUAAGUCUGUUUAGUUGGUGUCUGAAGGUUGAGUGCCCUUGAUUGAAAGUCCAAGGACAGUGACCUGACAUUGAGUGGCACCCCAGGGCUGGGGGGGGGUGUGGGGGGAGCAGACAAUGUGCAUUCUUUCCUGACUACCAACUGGAAGAGUAAGACAGCCUGUUCGGGUGAAAGCCUGGAAUAGUUGAUACUUCUUUGAUUCGCUUUGCCAGUGACUACAGAGAAUGGUGACACAUUGUGAUUAGGAACGGGGUUCGGAAAAUUUCUUAUUUUAAACUGAAGAAUGGAAAUCAGAAAGGGAAAGUUGGCUGGGCUAUCCACCCCAGAUCCUGAGGCUCUUGUGGGUUGUUUUUUGCCAACAGCAUAAACAGAACUUAAUUACAAGGCAAACAGUUUCCAUUGCUUGUGUUACAACGUGCACACACAAGCAGUCUAGAAAAUGCCUUUUAAAACCUUAAUUAAUUAACUAAUUUUAUCAAUAAUCUUAGGUUUAUAAUUCUGUGCUGACCCCAAGGUAGGCACGAAAGAAGCAACUUGAUUGAACAAGGAAUAAAGUCUUAGAUUCCACCACCUCUAAAAAUUCCUUACAAGUGAUUUCAAGUGACUUCUAUCUCCAUUUUUCUCUUUUGUCUGCUUCCCAAUUUCCAUAGGAAAAAAUGCCAGCCAAUAAAAUAAGUGAAGGAAAUGUAAAAUUUCACAAUACUUUGUCCUUUACCUUUAAAAGUCUGUAUUUAUUUAUGUGUGUGUAUGUGUGUGCACACUUGCCCACCAUGCACGUGCAGGUCAGAGGACAACUUUUGGGAGUUGGUUUUCUCCUUCUAUAAUGUAGGUUCCUGCAUUUGAACUGAGUCAUCAGGCUUGGCUGCCAGUGUCUUUACGUGCUGAACCAUCUCAAUGCCUUCCUUCUGUUUUGUUUUUUCAAAAAAGUUCAUUGCUGUGAUCGUUCUAUUAAAAUUCACAACUGAUGUCUCCUGUGUCAAAAAAGGAAUUGUGUACUGCAAAAUUCAUGCUUCUACUGAAAGAUAAUGUAUGCAUAGAAUAAAAUAUUAUAAAUUAAGUAAUUUAUUAACACAGAUACACACACACACACUCAGAGAGAGAGAGAGAGAGAGAUGAAGAAAAGUUGUCAGAAAUUAAAAACUGAUUCUGAUCUGUAUGUGUUUUCUUUUAUUUCAGGUUUGGUUUGGUUUGAUUUGGUUUAGUUUGCUUGACAUUGUCUUACACAUUGAUAUAUCUAUAUUAUAUAUUUAUUUAUAUAGAAGAUAUAUGAGAUAUAAAUAUAAUAUAUAUUAUUAGCUCUUAUCAGCACUAUACCAAAAAAUUGUCCUUUGUAUAAGUUUGGAUUAUUUAAGUCAACCCUUAAUUUAAAUUAUACUUGAAACCUACAAACAUUAAUAAUGUAUGAAUUUUUUUCUAAGAACAAAUAUUGUUGAAUAGUCUAGAGAGCACUCCAUCAAAGAAUCUUAUAGGGUCCCUAUUAAUUGUUAUCUGUAAGGAACUUUUGGUAUUAUAGGCCUCCAAUGGCUUCAUGCUCAAAUUAUCUAGCACGUUUUCCUCUUUUUCAUGGCACACUGUUUUUAUGUGGGAAGUUGUUUUUCCUCUCUGAAUAGACACAACUUGAUCUACUGCUUUCUCCUGGGACAUUUUUAAGGAAUAAUUUUAAUAAAGGGAAGAUCCACAGUGAUGCUUCACCUAGAAGAGUGGAGAUCAGAACUCCACCUAAUGCACUUCUUUCUCACCCACUGAAAUCAUCCAUCAUCAGUCUUGCCCAAUUGUAAGUCCUUGUGAGUUUUCCAUCUUCGAGUAUUAGGUAAAAGCAUGGAGGAGCCCAACAGUGAGUGACUACAUGGAGAAGAAAGAGGAUGAAAGCCUUCCUUUCCAUCCCAACUUCCCAUCGUGCCACAAAUGUACACAUGACCAGACAAAUCUCAGCAAAGGUGUCUUUCAGAGGAAAUAAGACCACAAAGGAAAACAGAAAGGAAUUGUAAAUGUAUCGAAAUAGCAACAUGAAGAGAGGCUAAGGAAUGUCAUAAUCAUAGACUGUAGAGAGCCAUUUCACUUAUGAAGUACAUGUAAUCAUAAGCAAGAUACUUUUAUUGGAUUAGAUGUUAUCACUGUGUUCUAAAAUGAUUGGAUUAGACGCACUGAAAACAACUAGACAGAAGGCGACUGAUGAUUACUUGGGGUGAAAGAGAGGAGUAAUGAACCGGGUGGAACAGAGGAGGGAGAGAUGAAUUCUAGAGAGGAAAAUUAACUGUCGAAAGUACAUAACCAUUACUGGUUGAUUGAGCAACUCACUGUCAUAUUUGAAUAAUAUGCCAAUCCCCAGAGUAAAGACACAAUAGUCACAAGAGGAAGUCCCCACCAACAAGACAAAGUGACAGUUGCACAUUUGGAUUACAUAUAUUUUCUUAGUUAAUUUUAUUUCCUGUUAAAUAAAUAAAAUCAUUUGAGGAAUAAGCAAUUGGUUCAUACUGAAACAUGCCAAUCAUAGUCUGUACCAAAGGAACUUUCUCACCAAGAUAUUGCUCAUAUUUUUCAAAAACAGAACAUCAAACCAAACAUAGACAAUGCGAUGCAAAGCCCUGUUAGUUCAUUCAUCAUAGUUCAUCUGGCCUGAGAUUUGACGGAAGACUAGGAAAUCAACAUUUGGAGAUGCAGCAAUUCCUUUUAUACAUAUCCCAAUAUAAGAUGUAGAGCAUUCCAAAGGGGUUGCACAACUGGUUCUUAGCCAAGUGUCAUAGGGCUUCCAUCACCGGAGGCAAUAAUCCUAAAAUGCACAUCCUGGAACAACUAAUUACUGUUAUACAUCUUACGGCUGCAAAGCCAAAAAAAGUCAAUGCAAAAUUUAACAUGAAUUUAUUUACUAGGAUUAAUGGAACAGUUCUGACCUUGCAGGCCACCAAUCAAAAUGAACCAAAUAUGCCCAGCAUCUUCCAAAAGCCACAUGAUUUACAUAACAACGGCAUAAACAUCAUAAACUGCUGUGGAAUGGGGAAACGUGUUGACAUGUGUCACAAACUCCUCUAACCACAGUGAAUGUCCUCAAGUAUGAAGAUGCAUUAUAAUAAUACUUCAUAUAACCAAAAAUCUGAGUUGUAGUUAUUUGAUGCUUAGAAACAUAAAAUUCAAAUAUAACAUAAAAACUAAAUAUAAAUUGCUCCUACAGGAAAAACAAAUAUAUAAUUAUUGCCAAGUGUCAGUAUUUUCUUCCUUUAUUUAAAGUUUAAGUGUUUUCUUUAAAUGUGCUCAGUGUGCAAAGAUUUAAAAGACACCUAUUGUCCCAUUUGACUCUAGUAAAUCUGGUAGUAAGUGGCAAGAUAAAUAGUAUUUCAUUUCAUACUUAUAUUCAGCAUUAUAGCUGACUAGAAAUGGUAAACAGCAACUCUUUUCUCUAUGCAGACAGAAUGAUGCAUCUCUAGAUAGAUAUGUCAAAUGUGCACAAAUAGAUAUAUACAAACAUAUGAUAAUAUUCAUUGUAUGUCUCUGUGUAUAAACCUGAAUACACAAAUGUUCUUGACCCUGAAAAAUUGGGAAGGCAAAUAGUGAUCUUCCCCAUAGAAUACAUAUACUCAACAACAAUGCACAUGAAGGUUCUAUUGAGGCUCUGUGUUUUAUGUUCUGUUCAUUUAACCCCAGCACUUGGGAAGCAGAGGCAGGAAGAUUUCCGUGAGUAUGAGGCUAGCCCAGUCUACAUAGCAAGUUCUAGACAGCCAUGGCUACAUGGAGAGAUGCUGUCUCCCAAAAUCCAAUGCUAUGUUUUAUGUUUAGUACUUUUACUAUAAUAAAAAAAAAUGGGAAGGCCUAUUUAAAAAGCAAUCUAAUCUUUUUUUUACUCAGACAAAAUUUCACCAUCAUCAUCAAACAGUCAGAGUAAGAUGGCAAAUCAAGCAUUGCCUUUCUGUGUUACAGUGGAGAAGAGUCAGGAUAACAAAGAAUGUCUCUAUUCCAGAGGGAGGAGAAGCAUUGGCCAGGGUUGCAGCCAGCUUCUUCCUGUGAGAAUUUCUCUCCUCUGCCUGCAUAGCAUGGACAUUCACUCAUCACCCCACAUGGCAUAGAACAUAUUGAUCCACAUAGGUGAGAACUAAGAUAACCCCAUUGCUGUGUUUGCACAUGGCCUGGCCUAAAGGUCACACUCGCUUCUCUCUUUCUGUCUUUCUGUCUCCUUUAAUCCAUUAUAAUAAUCUAACACUGACCAUUUUUCCUUCUCUUCUAUGUUUAAGGCUGAUUCAAAUAGCUUCUGUGAUGAGUUAACACUAAUACUCCUCAAAUUAUUCUAUAAACUAGAAAUGGAAAGAAUUUUAUCAAACUUAUUCUGCCAGCCAAGCACUUACUAUUAUGAUUUCAAAAUUAAUUAAGGCCAAACAACAACAAAUACUGUAGACCACUUUUUCUGAUUAAUACAGAUACAAACAAUCUCAACAAAA